AGAUCUUUAUUUUCAUAGGCUCAAGUUUGUAUAUUUCCUGAAUCACUCAUUGACUAUAACAUCAAACUUUAGUGCUGAGAAUCAUCAUUCUCAAGUUAUUUAAGCAACUAUUCAGUUGUUAUUGAAGUUGUUGCUCCUGACUUUAACCUUUUUCUUUUAACAAACAAGUUUUGUGGUUUAGCCAACUUCUUUAGAUUCCCACGGAUAAAUCAAAGUUGAUGUUUAAGGAGUUUUUCCCUCUAGUUGCAUGAAUAGCUUGGAAAAUUAAGUGGGCUUUGUUGUGUGUAUAAUACAUAAAAAGUUGCUUCUCAAUCUGAAUCUAACUGAAUUCAGUUUAAUGAUUAAUUAAAAAAUAGUAGUUCUUUUUUGUGCUCAACUAUAAUUUAUUUUGUAAUUUCUUUUGGGUUCAUAGGGAGGCCAAAUGAACUGUAAUAAAUUGUAGUCUACACAAUAUGGGAUAGCCCUCUCCUUUUUGUAACUAUUGCCAUAAUAGUAAAAUUUCCACCAUUAUUGGUAGAUGAGGAACUUGAACUCGAGAGUCGAGACCACUCCCAUACCCAUAAAGGGUAUGAAGAGAGCAAUCAACCUAUGCCUGAUUGGCAAACUUUAUUUUGCCAUUAAUGGUUCCUUGUGCUGUAUUAUCUUUUAAUAGCUGGUUAUGUGUUUGUCUAUCUCUGAGUUUGUUUUGACUGCAUAUGACAGCAAAUGCAUUUGAUGGAAAACUAAAUGCACGGUAAUAGUUUUGAAAAUGAUUGUCUGAAUCAUGUGUCUUGAGUGUGGUGUGAGAUCUUGUGGUUAAUUUGAGGGAUUUAACUUUUGUUUACAUUCAUUUGCAGAUUGACAUUUGAAACUGCAUAUAA
rnacentral:misc_RNA from 1 species